UGGGCGGAGGCUGCCCAGGCUCCAAACUACCGCCCGCCCGGUGGGCAGCAGUGCCCGACCCACGGCGGGCAGUCCCGGGUCCGUCUGAUGGACACCGGUUUGACAUACGCCAAACCCCCGCCGUCUGGUUCGUCGCUCUGACCCUGCCAAUGCAGCAAACAGCCAGACCCUCUCCGCGCUGUAACAAGCAGAGCGGCCCGCUCGCGUCCAGCCUUAGUCGGGCACUGCGCGUCCAGGGGAGGGUUCAGACUAAAUGAAGGAUGAAAAACAACAAAGCUGCAUGAGAAAACAAGAAGUGAUUGCCAGGCUCCUCUGAGGGCCCAGGGCUGCUUGGGACCUGCAGAAUUGCUGAACAGGGGAGUCACUGUGGGCGAAGGGGUGCAGGUAACCCCUCAGAAACAGGUGCCUGGGAUAGUCAAGAUGUGUUUUCCCAGUGGGGAGGGUGAAUCAAGGUUGAUGCCAAAGGAGCUGGCACCAUGCUGGGAAGAUGACUGCAUGGGUUAUCCUAUCCUAUCCUAUCCUAUCUAAAAAAAGGGGCUUCAUGAAUAAACA